rnacentral:tRNA from 1 species
ACUAGUUAGGCAGAUAUAGUGCAUUAUAUUUAGAAUAUAAAAAAGAUUUAUAAUCAAUUAGUA